UACGUAGGGUGCAAGCGUUGUCCGGAUUUACUGGGCGUAAAGAGCGCGCAGGCGGUCGUUCAAGUCGAGUGUGAAAGCCCCCGGCUCAACUGGGGAGGGUCACUCGAUACUGAUCGACUCGAAGGCAGGAGAGGGUAGUGGAAUUCCCGGUGUAGUGGUGAAAUGCGUAGAUAUCGGGAGGAACACCAGUGGCGAAGGCGACUACCUGGCCUGUUCUUGACGCUGAGGCGCGAAAGCUAGGGGAGCAAACAGG
rnacentral:rRNA from 1 species